rnacentral:rRNA from 1 species
UACGUAGGGUGCAAGCGUUGUCCGGAAUUAUUGGGCGUAAAGGGCUCGUAGGCGGCCAACUAAGUCAGACGUGAAAUCCCUCGGCUUAACCGGGGAACUGCGUCUGAUACUGGAUGGCUUGAGUUUGGGAGAGGGAUGCGGAAUUCCAGGUGUAGCGGUGAAAUGCGUAGAUAUCUGGAGGAACACCGGUGGCGAAGGCGGCAUCCUGGACCAACACUGACGCUGAGUGAGCGAAAGCCAGGGGAGCAAACGGG